UACGGAGGGGGCUAGCGUUGUUCGGAAUUACUGGGCGUAAAGCGCACGUAGGCGGCUUUGUAAGUUAGAGGUGAAAGCCCGGGGCUCAACUCCGGAAUUGCCUUUAAGACUGCAUCGCUAGAAUUGUGGAGAGGUGAGUGGAAUUCCGAGUGUAGAGGUGAAAUUCGUAGAUAUUCGCAAGAACACCAGUGGCGAAGGCGGCUCACUGGCCCGGUACUGACGCUGAGAUACGAAAGCGUGGGGAGCAAACAGG
rnacentral:rRNA from 1 species